CCCUUAGAUGUCCUGGGCCGCACGCGCGCUACACUGACAUGUUCAACAAGCCUCCUAGUUCGACAGGAUUUGGGAAAUCUUUGAACGCAUGUCGUGAUAGGGAUAGAUCAUUGCAAUUAUUGAUCUUGAACGAGGAAUUCCUAGUAAGCGCAAGUCAUCAACUUGCGUUGAUUACGUCCCUGCCCUUUGUACACACCGCCCGUCGCUACUGCCAACUGAGAUGGGUCCUGAAUUGUUAGGAACGCCCGUCAAGGGGCCUACCCGGUCCCUAGUGCGGUGACGAGAAUAACUGUAAAUGGCAUAUCUUGUAGGGAGUAAAAGUCGUAACA
rnacentral:rRNA from 1 species